AUUGAACGCUGGCGGCAGGCCUAACACAUGCAAGUCGAGCGGAUGAAGGGAGCUUGCUCCUGGAUUCAGCGGCGGACGGGUGAGUAAUGCCUAGGAAUCUGCCUGGUAGUGGGGGAUAACGUCCGGAAACGGGCGCUAAUACCGCAUACGUCCUGAGGGAGAAAGUGGGGGAUCUUCGGACCUCACGCUAUCAGAUGAGCCUAGGUCGGAUUAGCUAGUUGGUGGGGUAAAGGCCUACCAAGGCGACGAUCCGUAACUGGUCUGAGAGGAUGAUAGUCACACUGGAACUGAGACACGGUCCAGACUCCUACGGGAGGCAGCAGUGGGGAAUAUUGGACAAUGGGCGAAAGCCUGAUCCAGCCAUGCCGCGUGUGUGAAGAAGGUCUUCGGAUUGUAAAGCACUUUAAGUUGGGAGGAAGGGCAGUAAGUUAAUACCUUGCUGUUUUGACGUUACCAACAGAAUAAGCACCGGCUAACUUCGUG
rnacentral:rRNA from 1 species